rnacentral:rRNA from 1 species
UACAGAGGGGGCAAGCGUUGUCCGGAUUUAUUGGGUUUAAAGGGUACGUAGGCGGUCCUUUAAGUCAGUGCUGAAAUACUCCAGCUUAACUGGAGGGGUGGCAUUGAUACUGGGGGACUUGAAUGAAGUCGAGGUAGGUGGAAUUUCCGGUGUAGCGGUGAAAUGCGUAGAUAUCGGAAGGAACAUCAGUGGCGAAAGCGACUUCCUGGACCAAUACUGACGCUCAUGUGCGAAAGCGUGGGGAGCAAACAGG